rnacentral:rRNA from 1 species
GACGAACGCUGGCGGCGUGCUUAACACAUGCAAGUCGAACGGAAAGGCCCUGCUUUUGUGGGGUGCUCGAGUGGCGAACGGGUGAGUAACACGUGAGUAACCUGCCCUUGACUUUGUGAUAACUUCAGGAAACUGGGGCUAAUACCGGAUAGGAGCUCCUGCUGCAUGUUGGGGGUUGGAAAGUUUCGGCGGUUGGGGAUGGACUCGCGGCUUAUCAGCUUGUUGGUGUGGUAGUGGCUUACCAAGGCUUUGACGGGUAGCCGGCCUGAGAGGGUGACCGGCCACAUUGGGACUGAGAUACGGCCCAGACUCCUACGGGAGGCAGCAGUGGGGAAUAUUGCACAAUGGGCGGAAGCCUGAUGCAGCAACGCCGCGUGCGGGAUGACGUCCUUCGGGUUGUAAACCGCUUUCGCAUGUGACGAAGCGUGAGUGACGGUAAUGGGUAAAGAAGCACCGGCUAACUACGUG